CUUGACUUUUGGACAUAAGACAGGCUGGACUUAUGACAUUUUGGAUGGGUAAAACAGUGGACUAAUGUUACUAACUAACUUAGUUACUCACUAACUCUGACUUCUAAAAGACGUUAAAUUCACUAGAUUAGAAUUAUAACGAAAGUUCUAGAAUAAGGUUUUAACUAUUGCGUAAUUCGAAUCGAUAGAUCGUUAUGGUCUUAGUACGUAGUAGUUGUUAGUGUUAUCAAGGACGUAACACUAAAGCUUUGUUUUAACGAUUUAGGUCCCAAUUUCAUAAGCGGCUCGUUCUAUUAAGUCAGCGAAAAUUCUCCGUUACAAGCGCAGAAUGGUUCGAUCGGGAGGCGCCCCUGACACCUCUCUUAACAUCGAGCAAUCGAUACGUGACCUAGUACAGAUUACAGCCAACUUAGCCCAAGGUCACAGCCGGGAUGGU